AAAACCAUAGAAAGGCUAACAUUGCAGUGAAGUGUUCAGAAUUAGUUUCCUCGUUUACGCUGGGGUGGAUUCAGAGGAACUUGUAAUUACCAGUUUCCUCAGCAGUGAGACGCGAGGAAAUCCUAACAGCGUUGGAGUAAAGGACGAAAUUAUUGCAGACCGCAACUCCUUUACCAGUGGUUUCUCAAGGACGAGGGAAGGGCAUGUUCAUCACACCACGGGCCUUGUGCUUCCCUCUGCUGUGCGACCAAGAGAAAAGCACGGGCGUGCAGAAACCGUUUCCCGAGAUCCCGAUCGUCUGAAACGGUACUGUGGGCCUCUCUGGAGUGUACGGCCCUAGCAUCAACACUGUUUAUAAGACAAAUCUUAUAAAAAGGUCCAUUUUAGACGGAUGAGACAUUUUGUACUGAAAAAAAA